rnacentral:rRNA from 1 species
GAUGAACGCUAGCGGCAGGCUUAACACAUGCAAGUCGAGGGGUAUUAGUUUUCGGACUAAGAGACCGGCGCACGGGUGCGCAACGCGUAUGCAAUCUGCCUUUCACAGAGGGAUAGCCCAGAGAAAUUUGGAUUAAUACCUCAUAGUAUUAUAGACUGGCAUCGGUUUAUAAUUAAAGUCACAACGGUGAAAGAUGAGCAUGCGUCCCAUUAGCUAGUUGGUAAGGUAACGGCUUACCAAGGCGACGAUGGGUAGGGGUCCUGAGAGGGAGAUCCCCCACACUGGUACUGAGACACGGACCAGACUCCUACGGGAGGCGGCAGUGAGGAAUAUUGGUCAAUGGACGCAAGUCUGAACCAGCCAUGCCGCGUGCAGGAUGACGGUCCUAUGGAUUGUAAACUGCUUUUGUACGAGAAGAAACACUCCUACGUGUAGGAGCUUGACGGUAUCGUAAGAAUAAGGAUCGGCUAACUCCGUGCCAGCCGCCGCCGUAACAC